UGCGGCGGUCAUGGCGGCGGGGAAACGCCCGGUCCCAUCCCGAACCCGGAAGCUAAGCCCGCCAGCGCCGAUGGUACUGCCAGGGAGACCUGGUGGGAGAGUAGGACGCCGCCGCGC
rfam:Actinospica robiniae DSM 44927 genomic scaffold ActroDRAFT_ARA.1, whole genome shotgun sequence.